CUCUGAAGUUUUCGGAUGGAAGAGAGUUCAGCGGAGUGGCGAACGGGUGAGUAACACGUGAGCAACCUGCCUUUCAGUGGGGGACAACAUUUGGAAACGAAUGCUAAUACCGCAUAAGACCACAGUGUCGCAUGGCACAGGGGUCAAAGGAUUUAUCCGCUGAAAGAUGGGCUCGCGUCCGAUUAGCUAGAUGGUGAGGUAACGGCCCACCAUGGCGACGAUCGGUAGCCGGACUGAGAGGUUGAACGGCCACAUUGGGACUGAGACACGGCCCAGACUCCUACGGGAGGCAGCAGUGGGGAAUAUUGCACAAUGGGGGAAACCCUGAUGCAGCGACGCCGCGUGGAGGAAGAAGGUCUUCGGAUUGUAAACUCCUGUCCCAGGGGACGAUAAUGACGGUACCCUGGGAGGAAGCACCGGCUAACUACGUGCCAGCAGCCGCGGUAAAACGUAGGGUGCAAGCGUUGUCCGGAAUUACUGGGUGUAAAGGGAGCGCAGGCGGAUUGGCAAGUUGGGAGUGAAAUCUAUGGGCUCAACCCAUAAAUUGCUUUCAAAACUGUCAGUCUUGAGUGGUGUAGAGGUAGGCGGAAUUCCCGGUGUAGCGGUGGAAUGCGUAGAUAUCGGGGAGGAACACCAGUGGCGAAGG
rnacentral:rRNA from 1 species